rnacentral:rRNA from 1 species
UGGGGAAUAUUGCACAAUGGGCGCAAGCCUGAUGCAGCAACGCCGCGUGAACGAUGAAGGUCUUCGGAUCGUAAAGUUCUGUUGCAGGGGAAGAUAAUGACGGUACCCUGCGAGGAAGCCCCGGCUAACUACGUGCCAGCAGCCGCGGUAAUACGUAAGGGGCGAGCGUUGUCCGGAAUUAUUGGGCGUAAAGCGAGCGCAGGCGGUUAGAAAAGUCUGAAGUGAAAGGCAGUGGCUCAACCAUUGUAGGCUUUGGAAACUGUUUAACUUGAGUGCAGAAGGGGAGAGUGGAAUUCCAUGUGUAGCGGUGAAAUGCGUAGAUAUAUGGGGGAAAACCGGUGGCGAAAGCGGCUCUCUGGUCUGUAACUGACGCUGAGGCUCGAAAGCGUGGGGAGCGAACAGG